UACAGCAAUGGUGGCUCGUGGAGCCUCUCAAUAGUUCCCGGAAGUAGCAGCAAACACAUGCCGCGCCGUAGAGAUGCAGCAGAACAAACCGUUUGCGACACACUUUUAAAAGUUUCAUCCAUCGUUUUUGGAAUUAGAGAAACGGAGUCUAAACAUAUAUGUUUUGCAGGGUGAGAUUGCUCCUGCUGACUUGAGCCAACCAUUUUUUUCUCCUCUCCAUGUCAGUGGGGAAGCCAUACAUUCACACACCUUUCUCUGAGCGAUUGGAGCAUCCCCAUGCAGCACAGCAAACCAUGGUGAAGACUAUGCAACGACAACAUGAAAGAAAGGACACAUACAAAAUGCUUGGCAUGCUAUUUCAUUUAUUAGAACUG